UACGAAGGGUGCAAGCGUUACUCGGAAUUACUGGGCGUAAAGCGUGCGUAGGUGGCUCGUUAAGUCUGAUGUGAAAGCCCUGGGCUCAACCUGGGAAUGGCAUUGGAUACUGGCGACCUAGAGUGCGGUAGAGGGGUGUGGAAUUCCCGGUGUAGCAGUGAAAUGCGUAGAUAUCAGGAGGAACGCCAAUGGCGAAGGCAAGUCGCUGGACAGUUCCUGACGCUCAUGCACGAAGGCCAGGGGAGCAAACGGG
rnacentral:rRNA from 1 species